rnacentral:rRNA from 1 species
CGCCCCGAAUUGUAGUCUAGAAAGGCGCCAUCGGCCGCGUCCGUCGCUCAAAUCCCUUGGAACAGGGUAUCGGAGAGGGUGAGAGUCCCGUACCGUGGCGGAUCGCGGCCGCACGAUGCGUUUUUGCAGAGUCGGGUUGCUUGGGAUUGCAGCUUGAAUUGGGAGGUAAAUUCCUUCUAAAGCUAAAUACUGGUUCAUGACCGAUAGCGAACAAGUACCGUGAGGGAAAGAUGCAAAGAACUUUGAAAAGAGAGUUAAAGAGUGCUUGAAAUUGGCGAGAAGAAACCCGGUUGUGCCCGGUUUCGCGGUUCCGAUUCAGCCGUGUUCAUCGGUGCAUUUUGGAUUCGCGGGUCAGCCGCUCUUCUGAGUGCGUCAUAACUGCCUGGGGGGCUUUUUGUGAGCCAGGUCACUGACGCGCUUGGGAGCCCGGCUGACGGAACGGGCACAACCGACCCGUCUAGAAACACGGACCAAGGAGUCUGACACGGAUGCGAGUACCCGGGUGGCAAGCCCGCGUGCGCAAUGAAAGUAAAGGGCGUGCCCCGCCAACCGACCUUGAUCUUCUGUGAAGGGUUUGAGUCGAGCAUCACUGUCGGGACCCGAAAGAUGGUGAACUAUGCCUGAAUAGGUUGAAGUCUGCCGAAAGGCAGAUGGAGGACCGUAGCGAUACUGACGUGCAAAUCGUUCGUCAAAUUUGGGUAUAGGGGCGAAAGACUAAUCGAACCAUCUAGUAGCUGGUUCCCUCCGAAGUUUCCCUCAGGAUAGCUUGGACGCAAGGGUUUUGU